GGGCUCGUGGCCUAGUGGUUAUGGCGUCCGCCUUACACGCGGAAGGUCCCCUGUUCAAGUCAGGGCGAGCCCA
rnacentral:tRNA from 1 species